GUCCUGGCCCUAAACGGUGUUCACUUGGUGUGCGGGGAGUCGACCCCCUGCGUGCCGCAGCUAACGCGAUAAGUGAACCGCCUGGGAAGUACGGCCGCAAGGCUAAAACUCAAAGAAAUUGACGGGGGCCCGCACAAGCGGUGGAGCAUGUGGCUUAAUUCGAUGCAACGCGAAGAACCUUACCUGGCCUUGACAUGCUGGUGGUAGAACCCAGAAACGGGGACGACCUCUCGCAAGAGAGGAGCCAGCACAGGUGCUGCAUGGUUGUCGU
rnacentral:rRNA from 1 species